rnacentral:rRNA from 1 species
UACAGAGGUCUCAAGCGUUUGUUCGGAUUCAUUGGGCGUAAAGGGUGCGUAGGCGGCGCGGUAAGUCGGGUGUGAAAAUCUCGGGGCUUAACUCCGAAACUGCAUUCGAUACUGCCGUGCUUGAGGACUGGAGAGGAGACUGGAAUUUACGGUGUAGCGGUGAAAUGCGUAGAUAUCGUGAAGGAAGACCAGUGGGCGAAAGGC